AGCAAACACAUGACGUUAAAAUAACGUCAGAUUAUCGUUAGAUUUUGGUCACGACGUCGGCGACCAAAAUACGACGUAAAUCUGACGUCCAAAAACCGAUGUCUAUUAGACGUUUCUUUUUGACGUCGUACUAACGUCAGGUUCUGGUCGGUUUCCUGACAGUAGGUAAAAAAUUAACGAAAGGUAAUCCUUAUACGCUGUUGUAAUCAUUUAAACUUUUUUUAAAAUGUUAUUUGGCUUACAAUAUAAUUGAUAUAUAUAUAUAUAUAUAUAUAUAUAUAUAUAUAUAUAUAUAUAUAUAUAUAUACAAGUGCCUUUCGAAGACCACGUGCGCGGCGCUGCAACCUAAUAAAACAUAUAGGUGGCGCUGUAUAUAGGUUAAUUACAUGUGUUUUUGUUAUGAAAUCUAUUUAUAGCCACAGAUCUGUUAACGAGUUCCAACCAUUUAACGUUACAGUAUUAUCAUUUGUGGUAUAUUAUAUGUAUCAAAAUCACGAGUUUUUAAUAGUUCUUUAAUAUUUAAUCAUAGUGACAGGAAAAGGAAAAAAAACAUAAUUAUAAUUCGAAUCUACAGUCACGUGGAUGGAAAAUUCAAAUUCGUAGGCGUUUCGUAUGUCAGGAAUCGGGAUGCAUUGAUAAAGUGAAUAUUACAGAUUUUCUUGAACAAAAAGGUAGUUCAAGCGUUUGACAUGCUCUCAAAGGUCGGAGCGGCAGAAAUACGUGAUAAUGUGAAAAGAAACAUGAAUCAUUGGAAAUGAAAAUGAUAUCACAAACGCCAUUGGACAUUAACAUGUUUCAUCCUCUGGACAGACGAGAGGUGGUGAGAGAAGGUCAUAUAUCUAAAGGAAUCACACCUCCAAAUACGUGCUAAUUCUUGUGGAUAUUUAAAAGUACAUUUGUGUAUAACUUUGUGAAGUAACUAAAAGGAAGUAAUUUAUACGUUAGUGACAAUUAUCAAAAGGAGGUCAAAAUAUGAAAAAUACCACUAAAUGUUUUAGUAAUGCUGUAGAAAUAUAGUUAAAAUACUGAAUAUCUGUCAUUAAUUGCUUGAAACAUUAUUAUCCGAAUCUUUUUAACUUUAAAAUCUUAAAAUUAAAAUAUUUUCAUUAUUUUGUUUGAUAAGGCAAACUUUGAUAGAAAUAUACAUACGUUUUGUUCAUUAAUAUUUGUAUAUGAUUUCUUAGUUUCAUUUAUGUCAUUGAUUUUGUAAUACUUUUUGUUUUGUUAUUAACUUAUUUUAUGUUUUAUUUGGUUUAGUUUAUGAAAAGUAUUUAGCCUUGCAGAAUUAACUAAAACUGUAUGUAUCAGCUUUAAAUUGCAACUUUUAUCUUAAAUAAAAAAACAACAUAAAAACAUAUUUUUGCUUUUAGUUUUUUGUUAUACAUUUCAUUGGAGUGAAAGUUACUUAAAAGAAUGAGUUACAUUACAUUUGAUCAAAUCAGGAUUGGCCAGAAAAUAUUUAUAACAUUGUAAACAAGGAGGAUUAGGGAAAUGAUCAGAUUAAGGUCAGAAAAUGGUCAUGUCUAGGGCAGAAAAAGGUUAAGAUUUAGAUCGGAAAAUGGUCAGAUCGAGGUCGGAAAUUGAUCAGAAACUGGUUAGAUUUAGGUUGGAAAAUGGUCAGAUUGAGGUCGUAAAAUGGUCAGAAACUUGUUAGAUAACGGUCAGAUUUUGGUCGGAAAAUGGUCAGCUUUUGGUCAGAAAUUGUUAGAUAAUGGUUAGAUCCUGACGUCUAUCUGACGUCAGAUUAUUACGUCAAAAAAACUUUCAAAUCCGACCGUUUUUCCGACCGUCAUCCGACGUCAGAACCUGACUUAAAUCUGACGUCAGUAUGACGUCUUGUGUUUGCUGGG